ACUGGUAGGCUUGGGACCGGGAGAGGUGGGAGGUACMCCAGGGGUAGGGGUGAAAUCUCGUAAUCCUUGGGGGACCACCGAUGGCGAAGGCAUCCCACCAGAACGGGUCCGACGGUGAGGGACGAAAGCUGGGGGCGCGAACCGGAUUAGAUACCCGGGUAGUCCCAGCUGUAAACGAUGCUCGCUAGGUGUCAGGUGCGGUGCGACCGCAU
rnacentral:rRNA from 1 species